UGGGGAAUAUUGCACAAUGGAGGGAACUCUGAUGCAGCGACGCCGCGUGAGUGAUGAAGGAAUUCGUUUCGUAAAACUCUGUUCUAUGGGAAGAAAAGGACUGUACUAUAGGAGAAAGCUCCGGCUAAAUACGUGCCAGCAGCCGCGGUAAUACGUAUGGAGCGAGCGUUGUCCGGAAUUAUUGGGCGUAAAGGGUGCGCAGGCGGCUUUACAAGUUGGAUGUGAAAUAUUGUGGCUCAACCACAAACGUGCAUCCAAAACUGCAAAGCUUGAAUUAAGUAGAGGUAAGUGGAAUUCCUGGUGUAGCGGUGGAAUGCGUAGAUCUCAGGAAGAAUACCGGUGGCGAAGGCGACUUACUGGACUUAAACUGACGCUCAGGCACGAAAGCGUGAGGAGCAAACAGG
rnacentral:rRNA from 1 species